CGUACUCGUGCAAGUGCAAACCACUACACCGCGCAACAAUAACAGCACUACACCACGCAACAAUAAUACCACUGAUCCCGCUAUUUUCACCAUAUUCUGAACAGUCCAUGUGACACUGGAUAGAUACAUUUUUUGGUAUAAAACUACUACUUGCAAAAAGAAGAACCGAGCAUUCCAGGAAGUUACGAAAGGAAGCAGUAGAAGCUGCCAAGAUAGGCGCUCCUUAAAUUAGGCUCGUUACAAAUGUUAUGAUCUAAACAAAUUUACAAGCUUUUGUCUUAUGAAUUUAACAUCUUCGAACUACCAACUUCCAGCUUGAAACUCUAGUUUGCUUCACUAUCUUCCUCAACGCAAUCCAACUUUUAUUGGCAAAUGAUUAAGUUUUUAUUGAGUUCUUCCAUUCUAUAACCAAAGCGUCGAAAACUUUGCUUAUCUUCUACUCUCUUCUAUGUUUUUCAAAAUAGGAAUUGCCAUUGCCAUAACUAAACAAUACAUUCUAAUGGAUUAUUUGACUGUCAGUUGCUGUCACCUUAAACUACCAAAAUAUCCAACAAUUUCAUGUUGAUUAUUAUGCUUCAUAUUUUAGCAGAGACUCAUUGUAUAAUCUGCUUAAAAAUACUGAUUUUUACUGUAUGCUUGCUGAAAAUUAUUUUUGACAUGUAUUUAUUGUUAUGCAAUAGACCGCAGACUGUACUCCGAGCUUUGCCCUCGGACUCUUUUAUAAGGCCUUUGAAACAAACAAUUUCAUAGUUAUAAAUUACUGAAUCUUAUCGCACUUUAUCAUUAGCCAAAUAUAAAUAUAAAACUUCCUUUUCUCAAGUGUCAAAAGAAGUCCUAAAGACCUUGUAUUCAAGUUGAUAAAGACAGCAUAAGUCCUAUUUUAGAAUUUGUAUCUCCUCCGCUAACCGAGUUUCAUGAUCUGGCUACAACUGCUGGUACUCUGCAAACGGUUUUAAUUGCGAGAAUUGUGAACAAGCCAGAAAAUUUCAUAACAAAUUCUGAGAUAAAUAAUUUCGGCUCUUUAAAGGACCCGCAAGGGCCAGAAAAGGAUCUAAUAUACAACUGUUUAGAGGGAUGAACUGCCAGGAUACUGACCGUUUGAAAGCAACGUAUUCCUGGUGAUUGAUAUUUCAGUAAAUAAAUCUGAAGGAAAGAAUAGUAUGACUCUACAACGAUUUGGAAAGCAUGAAUAAAAGCGGACAUAGUUUCUAUUGUUUUACCAACUACCAAGCCAACAAAUAGUACUCUGAGAUUUUCAAAUGGCUAUCCAAUGGGAGAGGAUGUUUGUAUUGGAAUUCGGAAUGCAUCUGAUUAGUAUGUAUGUUUUAUUGAGUAGUAGAUCGAACAUAAAGGUUAUUGAACAAUUUACUACAAAUCUGUGGCUAGCGCUCACUCAAAGUUGAAUGAUGUCUUCUUUACCUAAGGUUUUUCCCGAAUUCCUCUCUCCAAACUACGUGAAUACUUUUCUCCCAUUAUCCUUUCGCCAACCUACGUUAUUAACUUUAUCCCAUUAUAGAGAUAUAAUGCAUUAUCAUCAUAGUUUUGACAAUAUUCUGAUUUGAUAUUCAGUUUAUUAACUCAAAUUAUUUAUCUACAAAUGGAUCGCCACUGCACUAGGUCUUUAGGAAAUUUCCUUCGUAGUUUUUUCUAUUUAUCAUAUAAUAUUUUAACCAAAACAGACCACUAAAAUUCAGACCAAACAUAAAAAACCAUACAAAAAAUAUAUUUUGAAUGAAUCGUCUGUCAACUAAAAAUCUUCAGCACAACAAAUAUGUGUAUAAUCGUAAUUGGAAAUGCAAUCAUCCUCAAGUUCUGCAAUAGGUAUAGCUAUAAAUUAAGCCGGAACUUGUCUGAGAUAUGAAAUAUGAAGGAUUAUGAACAAGAAAGGAGCCCCUCAGCCAAAGAACCAACGCUCGCAAAAGACUUCUGGGUCAUCAGCGAAGCGCUCCAGAUUCUUUCCAACCAUUUCUUUAACGCAGAUUGCCAAAAAAAAAAAGACGCUGAUUAACGUUCUAAGAAACCCUGAGGCAAACAUUUUGGGAUUAAGGGGUAAUUUCGACUCUUAUAAUUGCAAAGUAUGUGCGAAUACUUUAGGAUGCCUAACACAAACAUGCAGAUGUGAUUAUGUAAUUUGAAAUAAGCCAUCAAAAAGGAUUAAAUCCAUCACUAUCUAAGUGAUUUGUUCGAGUACAAUUACAUUACCAAUCAGUAACUUCCAAUCCCAUAUGUACUUCCUAUGUUGCAUGCAGAAUAUAUUGUAAAAUGAUUAUUAUGAUAUGUAAAUUGCAUUAGAUACCAUUCGGGUUGCAUUGCAGUGUAAAGUUCAUCCUCCAAGAAAUGCUUGUUUUUUGGUUUCUAUUGAUUUUCUGUUGUAUACCUUACACGAAACCAAAAAGAGAGAUGUUAAAUUUUAUCCCAUGUAAUUGGUGGUGUUUUCUUAUAGCACGCAUGGAAAAUAAUAUUUUCUAAGUGGUAACAAGCUAACAAAUUUAAACCUGCAUAGCAGUUUCAAGCAUUAUUUCAAAUGUCUACAAAUGGAAGAUAUAUAAUUGAACUACCAAAAGAGCUAGCCGAUGCACACAACCAAUAAUGCUUUAUUUUCCUGACAGUAUUACUUCUUUGCGAAUGUUACCUUAAUCGCAGCUUUUCAAGCAGAUGGCCAAAACUUUGUUGGAUUGUUACAUUGUGUUACAGAUAAUAUUCAAAAAUACUACAGCUUACACAUUGGAACACAUUAGAUUGAAAGUUGAGCUCAAUGCGCCGUAUGAAUUCCAAAAUGGAACGUAUUCAAAACUAUUUUAUAAUUGCAAUAAGGGGCAUGCCCCAACAACCGAUAAAAUACAAUUUUGGGCGACGACGAAAUAGAGAUAAUUUUAUAACAAUGAUUACCUGAAUUUGAAUGACUUACCAGUCCAAUCGUAUACACUAGAUAUCAAUCAAUAACUUCCAACUAUUUGACUUCCUAAUAAAUGUUUUUUGGGGUUUUCAACUGAAAUCAUAUUUUUGUAAAUGAUACAACUCUAUAAAUUUUAAAAGCCAAAACAAAACAUUCAUAAAAAAUGCUUCCGUACUUGUUAUAGCACAACAACUAUACAAAUAAAUUAUUAGAAAACAAAAUACAUAACAUUUUUUCAAGAAUUCACCGGAACAUAUCAAAAUCUAAAAAUCUGCCAGAAAAAAACUGAUAAAUUCGAUCAAAACCUAUUUAAAUAAUAUAUUACAAGACCUCUACGAUGGAAAAAAUUUUCAAAUUAAAUAUAUUAUGAGCAAUAUGAUUAUAAAUGUAAACAACUCUAUCCCUAUCCUCAAUCUAAUCAUCCCUACCCUACCGAUUGCCAAGAAGGGCUCGAUCUAAAAAGGAUUUUGUACGCCUAUUCAAAUGACAAAUAAAUAAUAAAAAUAACUAAUUGGAAAUACUCCCCUAAUUAGCAAACAUUCUACGGUUUAUCCAAUUAAUUUUAAGCAGAGCUGAUCAUAUUAUCUAUCACUGAAAUAUCUGGGACUAUCCAUCGAUAGGGCCUAACCUCCUUCUCCGCUCUGACCACUAAUGUUGGAAAUGCAUUUAAAUAAAUACCCAAUGGGAAGCAACGAACAAAUUCAAAAUUCGAUUUGAGUAAAUUUUGUACCUGAACAAGUCUACCGCGUGUUCGUAUGGCAGUUCUGACUGUAUCUGACCAAUUUAUUAACUAAACUAUCGGUUCCUUCAAACUACUCAUAAUAGAAAAGUCACUUGUUGACCAACGAUUUCUCAAUUAUCGUUUUGUAUAUUUCUCUAAACUGCGUUGACAGCUUUUCCAAUUCCAACAUCCAAAGAAUUUUCGGGGGUUUCACGCUGGGCUUUGCAUUGCGCUGAAAGAAUCAGGUGGAAAAUAAUGAAAUAAAAUCCAUUACCUACUCGAAUAUUAAAUCUAAUGAUAAACCCAAUUCGAUUUUUAUGAAAUUAAGGAUACAAUUAUAACAAAAAUACCACACGCCCUUUGAUAACCAUAUAUUGAAUACAUCGGUCAAUAAUAAAACCUUUACCAUUAUAAUAAUUAAAAUAAUAACGAGUACCUAAAGGUGGAAAGAGUAAUUGAUUAAGAAAUAUUUAAAAAUAAAUCUCAACAAUGUUGCUAGUCAACCAUCGUCAAUGAUAUACAAAACCACUAAAUAUGAAAUCCUUAAGUCCAUUAAAUUUAAUUUAUUGAAAAAAUAAUAUUUAUUGAUUAUAAACUCCCACAGGGGAACCAAUUAUCUAAAUUUUUUAUAAAAAUUCUCCAUGCGAGAAAUAUCAAGAAAACUCGUAAUGAAAUAUUUAUCCGUUAUGGCGUAAUUCAUCGAGGAUACCGGUUAACUCCCAAGCAAUAACAGACAAUAAUAGACGAUAUUCUGCGAUAAAAUGUAUAAUCAAAAUGCUUUGACACCUGUAAUACCACAUAUACUUUUGAAAUCAGCGAUCAUUAAGUAUCGUUAUGUAGAUCAAUCUACUCGUAAUCAAAUAUAUCUGUGUACCUGUAUCAAAACACGCUUUUUAAACAAACUACGUUUCAAAAACCACAAAUCAUAGUCCCAUAUGUCCUAUAUUGUAUUGGUUAUACUCGUACUUUUAUCCUGUUUUAUUGCAUUGCACGAAUUGAUCAUCUCCAGAACUGUGUAUGCUUUAAAUUUUUAAAUGAGCUUCUUAACCCUAUUGGUUGCGUUGGGGCUCCAUGAAACAAAAACCUUAUACAUAAGUAGAAGAAAUGCCAUCGCAAUAACUGAAACUUUUAUUGGGAAAUCAAGUUUAUUACUUAUGAAACUUACAGAAUGAAUUUUAAUGGUCGGUUGCUGUUACUUUAAACUACCAAAAUAUCCGACAAACUUAAGUUGAUUAUUGUGCUAAAUUUUUUCGCAGAAACAUUGUGUAAUAUGCAUACAACUAUUGAUGCUUACUGUAUGCUUGCUGAAAAUAAUUUGUUUGAAAUGUAUUUAUUGUUAUACAAUAGACUGCAAACUGUACUCCGAGCUUUGUCCUCUGACUCUUUUAUUACUGAAUCUUUUCGCCCUUUCCUCAAAUAAUAAAUUAAAUCCUAUAUAAGUUGUAUUAAGUUGGUAACGAAACAACACAAGUCCUAUUUACUAUAUGUAUCUCCUCCACUCCUCCGUUCAUGAUCUUGGUACAGCUCCUAGUACUCUGCAAACAUUGUGAAUAGCGAGAAUAGUGAACAAGCUAUCAAUUUUCACAAGAAAUUCGGAGCUAAAAAAUGUCUACUCUAUAAAGGACCCGCAAGGGCCAGAUAAGAAUCUAAAAUAUGUACAACUUGUUGGUGGGACGAUCUACCAGGAUACUGAUACAACGCACUCGGGGUGAUUGGCAUUUCUCUAAAUGAAUCUGAAGGAAACCUAUUGUUUGAACAAUUAGCAAGCCAACAAAUUCUAUAUUAAUCUGAAAUAUUAAAACAACUAUCCGAUGGACAUGGAUGUUUGUAUUGCAAAUCGGAGUGCAUCUGGUUAUUUAUAUAUCUUUUAUUGAGAAGUGGAUCUAACAUAAAGGUUACUGAACAAGCUGAAUCUGUUGCCAGCGUUCACUCAAAGCUGAAUGGGGUCUUCUUUACCUAAUGUUUUUCCUGAAUACUUUUCUCCCAUUAUCAUUUCGCCAACCUACUUUAUUACCUUUAUUCCAUUAUAAAGACAAGGCUUUAUCAAUUUAUUUUUGACGUUCUUCUACUAAUCUAUCGGAACUGCACUUGGUCUUUAGGAAAUGUUCUUCGUAUUUUUUACUAUUUAUCAUAUGUAUAAUAUUUUAACCAAAAUAGACCACUCAAACUUAGACAAAACUUAAACUACCAUCAAACACACAUGUUGUGAAUGUGUCAUCUGUCAACUAGAAAUCGUCAGCACAACGAAUAAAUAUAUAAUCGUAAUUGGAAAUGGAAACAUCCUCAAGUUCUGCAAUAGGUUAGGCUAUAAAUUUCAACAGAACUGCUCUGACAUAUGAAAUAGCAAAGAUUAUAACAAUCUAUGGAAUAUUCGUAAAUUCUUUCAAUUAAAGCCCCAAUUCAGGAUUCGAAAGAUGUAGUGGAAUAAUUUGGAAUGAAGGGGAAAUUUGGAUACCCUUAUUUGCAAAGAUUGUGUGAAUACUUUAGGAUGUCUUACACAAACAGCAUUGCUUUGGUAGUUAACGCAUUUGUUCGAGUAUAAUUACAUUACCAAAACAGUAACUUUCAAUCCCAUAUGUACUUCCUAUAAUGCAUGCAGAAUAUAUAUUGUAAAAUGAUUAUUAUGAUAUGUAAAUUGCAUUUAUUACCAUUAGUGUUGCUUUGCAGUGCAAAGUUCAUCCUCCAAGAAAUGCUUGUGUUGUGGUUUCUAUUGUUUUUCGUUUUAGAUAACUUACACGAAACGAAAAACAGACUACAUGUUAAAUGUAAUCCGAUGUAAAUGAUUUAGUUUUCUUAUAGCACGCAAUGAAAAUAAUAUUUUCUAAGUGGUAACAAGCUUUCAAUUUUGAAUCUACAUAGAAUUAUCAAGCAUUUUCAAAAAUUAGUUCAAAUUUCCAUAAAUGGAAGAUAUGUAUUUAUGUAAUAGAACAGCAAAAUUUAGAUUAUUAACUGACCCUACAGGUACUAUGCAAUGCGAAAAGCUUUACCAAAAGAGCUACACGAUUCACACAACCAAUAACACUUUAUUCUAAUGACAUAUUAUAAUUUGUUUGCUCCUAUUAUUUAAACGAAAGGUGAAGGCAAACACUUCUUUAAAUAUCUGGCCUAUGUACAAGCAUCUGUUCUGCAUAUUUUUCUUGUAUUACAAUUAAUAUUCAAAAAUUCUUAACAUUGCUGUCUGCUCGGCUUGAAAUGCCUUAAAUGGUACACAUUAGAUGGAAAGUUUUACUCACUCCAUUUCUAGUCGCUUUUACUAGGGCUUCGAACAAAAUGUAUCUCGAACAUACAUAUGUACAUCUUAUAGUACUAUAGCAUCUUUCAAAUGGCUUAAUGUAAAUAUUUAUAUUUUUAAAUAUAUAUAUAUCGUAUUUAAACCAAUGAAAUAGUACUACACGUAUUCACUGCAGAACUUCAUAGACGGUAAUUGGAAUUCAGAUCAAAUAUUUGUCAUAUUAUACUUUUUAUCAACGUAAUAUUUAUCCACAAGAUACCAAUACCAUAUAACAAGAAACAUAAAGAUAUGAUUCAAUGCACAUAAAUUAUGAAAGACUUUCGAAAAAUGCAUAGCUACAAUAUCAAUCCGGACCAACUUUUCUGGACUAUUCAUAUUAAAUCCGAAAAUCGCAAACUAACAGCACAUGAAGUACCUAGAUUUAUCAAAUUAAUUAACAAAUUAAAAUCGAAACUUUUAGUCCCAUCGUUUAACGCUCAGCAGCGUACUUCCCUUAUGGGCUUAGUUAAUACUCAGUUCUUUCAGUGUUCUUCUACUUAAUGUAAAUAAAUGUGGAAUUCGUCUUACGACCUUGUCGAAUCGCAUUUUAAAUAGUUAAAAUCAACCAACAUUAAGAUAAUUCCCUGAAUCAUAAAUUUAAUUUCGACUGCAUGUUGAUGUGCUAUCGAAUUUUUGUUUAAUUGAUUAUGUGUUGAUAAUGUCCAUUUCUUACUAAUUUAAUUUGUUUUAAUGCGUGCAUUAUACCCAUUACAAACCAAAAUUAUCGAUUAUACUGACUUUUGCUGUUUAACACCUUUACGGAAUUUUUCCUGCGUUUUUUAUGUUUCAACCUUUUUUGUUACAUAAAAGGUAAUUUUUAAUUUCAAUCCCCCAAGUCCCCGUCAGUAUUGUAAUUAAAAUAAAAGCAUCCGAGCUUCGGGUGAGGUUAUGGAUGCAUUUUGAUCUCUGCACUUAUCUCCAAAACCCCUUUUUGUAUGGAAACAUACCACCCAAAUAACCUCACCCACCAAAUUAUGAACAAAGA